rnacentral:rRNA from 2 species
GAGUUUGAUCUUGGCUCAGAUUGAACGCUGGCGGCAUGCCUUACACAUGCAAGUCGAACGGCAGCACGGGAGCAAUCCUGGUGGCGAGUGGCGAACGGGUGAGUAAUACAUCGGAACGUGCCCAGUAGUGGGGGAUAACUACUCGAAAGAGUAGCUAAUACCGCAUACGACCUGAGGGUGAAAGCGGGGGAUCGCAAGACCUCGCGCUAUUGGAGCGGCCGAUGUCAGAUUAGCUAGUUGGUGGGGUAAAGGCCUACCAAGGCAACGAUCUGUAGUUGGUCUGAGAGGACGACCAGCCACACUGGGACUGAGACACGGCCCAGACUCCUACGGGAGGCAGCAGUGGGGAAUUUUGGACAAUGGGGGCAACCCUGAUCCAGCCAUGCCGCGUGAGUGAAGAAGGCC